AAUAAACUAACUAUUGAUUUAAAUCAAAUCAAACAAACUAUUAAAUCGUUGAAUGAUUUCAAUAACAGCUGUUCCGUGUCUUUAGAUUUAACUAAACAACAAUCGGAUCAAUUGAAUGAAGAUAAUAAUAAUAAUAAUUGCAUUGAAACUACUAAUGUUAACAAAUCAAUUGAUGGCCAAACAAGUAGUGGUAAUGAUAUUAUAGGAGAUAA